rnacentral:lncRNA from 1 species
AGCGAGCGAGCGAGCGAGAGAAAGGGGUCUAAAGACUCCCCUCCACCAAGCGAGGCGAGCGAAGACCUCUGGGGCAAGAAAUCGGCCGGUAUUUAUAGAGGCCGAGGCGGAUGAGGGGGAAACUGAGAGCGCCCACCGCGUUCCCACGCCUCGGAAUCGGAAUGGGAGGACGGGAAGAAGAUCUCGGAGAGCAAGGAGGAGGAGGAGGGACGCUUCUAGGUGAGGUCUCACCGUUUCAGGUCGAGCAAAUCAAAAUUGGCAAGAGAGACCAAAAUGCUUGAGCUCUCGGGCACCCUCAAGCCUACCGUUGGAUCAUCCACUGAUUGCUUUGAGAUCUGCGCACUGGGUGAUCCAACGGUCGAAGGAAGGUGAAUCCUUCUUUCGCACGAAAGAAGACCCGAUCCCCGCGCUUUCGUGCGAACCAGGAGUUGGCUGCCAAAAUGUUGUGCCG